rnacentral:piRNA from 1 species
UAGUUCCAUGAUGUCUGAGC